AGUGAACGCUGGCGGUAGGCCUAACACAUGCAAGUCGAACGGCAGCACAGUAAGAGCUUGCUCUUACGGGUGGCGAGUGGCGGACGGGUGAGGAAUACAUCGGAAUCUACUUUUUCGUGGGGGACAACGUAGGGAAACUGACGCUAAUACCGCAUACGACCAACGGGUGAAAGCAGGGGAUCUUCGGACCUUGCGCGAUUGAAUGAGCCGAUGUCGGAUUAGCUAGUUGGCGGGGUAAAGGCACACCAAGGCGACGAUCCGUAGCUGGUCUGAGAGGAUGAUCAGCCACACUGGAACUGAGACACGGUCCAGACUCCUACGGGAGGCAGCAGUAGGGAAUAUUGGGCAAUGGGCGCAAGCCUGAUCCAGCCAUACCGCGUGAGUGAUGAAGGCCUUCGGGUUGUAAAGCCCUUUUGUUGGGAAAGAACAACAGCAGGUUAAUACCCCGCUGUUCUGACGGUACCCAAAGAAUAAGCACCGGCUAACUUCGUG
rnacentral:rRNA from 1 species